rnacentral:rRNA from 1 species
AUUUUAGAAAAUAUUAAGAUAUGUAUUUAGGUUUAUUUGCCUUUUGCAUCAUGCUUAUUGGAUUGAAUUAAAGUAUUUUAUCAACCAAAAAGUCUAGAUCUUAUGAUUGUUUGUUUUGAACUUUUAUUUUUGAGUUAAAAAUAAUUAGAAUGAUCAUAUGGUGUGAUAAAUUAUUCGUUAGAUUUUAUAUUUGUUUUACUGCUUUGUUUUUAGUAUUAUGUUGUUGGCUAUUAGGUCAGUUGCAGGUCUAUAUUGUUUUUAUUAUCGUUUUUUAUUGGGUUAAAAGUACCCAUUUUUUGUAAGGUUGUUAUAAACUUAGUUUUAUGAUAAUGUUAAAUUAGGUAAUUUGGCAGUAUUGAUUAAAGGUUAGAUAUCAGUGAUCAAUAAAUAAGUAAUUUAAUUAUGUUAAUUAUUUCUAGUAACUUUUCCGUCUGUUUAUUAAAAACAUUGCUAAUUUAAAUUUUAAUUAGUAGUACCUGCCCAGUGUUGUUUAUAAACGGCCGCAGUAUAUUGACUGUGCAAAGGUAGCAUAAUUAAUUGCCCUUUAAUUGGGGGCUUGUUUGAAUGGUUUGACGAGAUAAGUGUUAAUAUUUAACAUUUGUGUGAAUUUGAUAUUAAGGGUUCAGAAUCCUUAUAUAUUAAUAAGACGGAAAGACCCUAGGAUCUUUUAUUUUUGUUUGGGGCAAAUUUGUAUAAUUUAUAGAAAUUGUGACCCUAAUGGGUUAUUGGGUAAAGUUACCCUAGGGAUAACAGAGUAAUAAUUAAUGAGAGAUCUUAUCGAAUUAAUUGUUUGCUACCUCGAUGUUGACUUAGGUUAGAGCUUAGGUGUAGUAGUUUAAGUUGUAGGUCUGUUCGACCUUUAAACCUCCAUGAGUUGAGUUAAGACCGGCGUGAGCCAGGUCGGUUCUUAUCUAUUGUAGAAAUUUAUCAGUACGAAAGGAUAGUAAAUUUUUUUAUU